rnacentral:rRNA from 1 species
CCGAGGAGUCCUGGCCGUUCGCGAGUCGUAGGGGCCACUCUAACGAACCCCGAAGGCGUAGCGAAAGCGAGAGAGCGCGACGGAGGGCGCCGUCCGGAAAAGGUGUCGCGGCAAAGUCGUAAGUGCGGCGGCGAGGGCGUUCGCGUCCGAACCGUCGUGCCCUUCCGAGCCGUGCCCCGCUCCGUCGGUGCGCCGGCUGGUCGUCGAGCCCUUACACUCCCUAGUCGUCGUCCCCCGUUGCCCGCAAGGGUGACACGCGGCGACGAGACGACACGGUCGGCCCCGGCCUUCGUCCGCCCCACCGGUGAGAUCCCGCGGCUUGAACUUCAGUUCGAUUUAGUUCGUCGAGUUUAGGCGCUGCGCGCGGGCGCAUCACCCCCGGGUCGGAUUUUUUCCGAGUACGACUCGGCCGACUCUGGCGUAGCGAGCGGCCAGGGACCCGAAAGAUGGCGAUCCACGCCCGGUCGGGAUGAAGCCAGAGGAAACUCUGGUGGAAGUCCGAAGCGCCUCUGACGUGCAAAUCGAUCGUCGGAACCGGGUGUAGGGGCGAAAGACCAAUCGAGCCGUCUA